rnacentral:rRNA from 1 species
UACGUAGGGGGCGAGCGUUGUCCGGAAUUAUUGGGCGUAAAGAGCUCGUAGGCGGUCUGUUGCGUCGGCUGUGAAAACCCGGGGCUCAACUCCGGGCCUGCAGCCGAUACGGGCAGACUAGAGUUCGGCAGGGGAGACUGGAAUUCCUGGUGUAGCGGUGAAAUGCGCAGAUAUCAGGAGGAACACCAGUGGCGAAGGCGACUACCUGGACCAGCACUGACACUGAGGCACGAAAGCGUGGGGAGCAAACAGG